ACUCAUUCCAUCUCAUCCUCCCUGUGUUAGCCAGACAAGCACUUCCUGAUUUGCCAGUCCAUGGAGAGGCCCUGCCAGCCCGUUCAUGGCUGCUGCAAAGGACAGGUAAGGGUCUGAAAGGCCACUGCCCACCAAGUGGCUGGUAUGGGCACUUACAUUGCCGCCCUCAUGGUCACUGUGGAUAGUGAGGUACAGGUGCAUGAGCUCAGGGAACUGAUGAUCAGUAUAGCCUAACAUGUUGGUGAAACUGUGAGACCAGUCCAGGUUAGAGUCAAUGGCCCCAAUACCACUGCCUUCUCCAUAGAGAUUUCGGUAGAUCUUUGCUGCGACACAAGGUAGCUUUGUGAUUAGAUCCACAGAGUCUUCAUAAAUCAACUCCCAGUACUUGGUUCGGCUGAUACCCCGUGCAUAUGCUUGGGCAAAGUUACUUUCACUGUUGAGGGCUGUAACAGCUGCACUGAGCUGAGACAUGGGGUGUAGAUUGGUGGGAAAGUUGUCCAGCAUGGUG
rnacentral:lncRNA from 1 species